ACUUCCUGGACUCUGCUGGGAUGGGUUCAAAGUAGAGAAAGUGGAAGAGGAAAGAGUUACCCCAGCGAGAACCGGGAACCGGGCUGCAGACUCUCCGGCCCGGGGGAGGGAUGAGUUUCACUCUGGUUGCCCAGGCUGGAGUGCAAUGGCGCGAUCUCGGCUCACCGCAACCUCUGCCUCCCGGAUUCAAGCGAUUCUCCUGCUUCAGCCUCCCGAGUAGCUGGGAUUACAGACCUGGGAAAGCUUCCUCCAGCCCUGAUGCUGGCCUGCAGUAUGGCACUUGACAGCUACUGGUAUUGUGGAUAGAAGCAAAGGCUCUGGACUCAGCAACACUUGGUUUGAAUUCCAGUUCUACCACUUACUAGCUGUGGUGCUGCUGACAACUUAAACUCCAUGAACCUCAGUUUUCUUCAUCUGUAAGGUGGGAUAACAGUACUUCUCUAAUAGGGAUAUUGUGAGGAUCAAAUAUGAUGAUCUAAAGCAGUUAGCACAAUAUCUUGCACAUAGUAAGUGCUUAAUAAGUGGCAGUUAUUAUUUCAUACAUUAUAAGGUGAUACCCCUGAACUU
rnacentral:lncRNA from 1 species